AUAUCAAUAAGCGGAGGAAAAGAAACUAACAAGGAUUCCCCUAGUAACUGCGAGUGAAGCGGGAAAAGCUCAAAUUUGAAAUCUGGCGGUCUCGCGUCGUCCGAGUUGUAAUCUGGAGAAGCGUCUAUCCGCGCCGGACCGUGUACAAGUGCUUCUGGAACAGGAGCGUCGUAGAGGGUGAGAAUCCCGUCUUUGACACGGACGAACCGAUGCUCUUGUGAUGCGCUCUCGAAGAGUCGAGUUGUUUGGGAAUGCAGCUCAAAAUGGGUGGUAAAUUCCAUCUAAAGCUAAAUAUUGGCGAGAGACCGAUAGCGAACAAGUACCGUGAGGGAAAGAUGAAAAGCACUUUGGAAAGAGAGUUAAACAGUAC
rnacentral:rRNA from 1 species